UACGUAGGUGGCAAGCGUUGUCCGGAUUUACUGGGCGUAAAGAGCGCGCAGGCGGUCGUUCAAGUCGCGUGUGAAAGCCCCCCGGCUCAACUGGGGAGGGUCACGCGAUACUGAUCGACUCGAAGGCAGGAGAGGGAAGUGGAAUUCCCGGUGUAGUGGUGAAAUGCGUAGAUAUCAGGAGGAACACCGGUGGCGAAGGCGGGUCUCUGGGCAACAACUGACGCUGAGGAGCGAAAGCGUGGGGAGCGAACAGG
rnacentral:rRNA from 1 species